rnacentral:snRNA from 1 species
CGGUGCCCAACUGCGCGCUAAC